AUGUGGAUUUUGAUCCAGCAGCGUACAGGAUCACAGCUCAUCACAAAAUGCUGUGACACUCCCACCAGCUGCCACAUCACACAGAGCUCCACUGUGACAGCUCUUCAUAUCUCUGGAACUGUACUGACAGUCAUAUAUGAGACUCUGCUGCUCUCUGACUCCCACAACAUGGACAGCAUCAUCAUCAUCCUCAUCAAACAUGGCUUCCUCAGCUUGUCAGCAUUACUGCUCUGGAUUACAGGUCUGACUGUUGGCAGUGAUGUCACCCAGACCCCCAAACUGUGGAAAAAUGUGGGUGAAAAUGCAACGAUACACUGUAAUCACACCAAGGGCAUUAACUACAAUCAGAUGUACUGGUACAGACAGGUCCCAGGAGAAGGAAUGAAACAAAUAGUGCUCAGUCCUACAUUCGGCAAACCUGAAUAUGAACCCGACUUCAAAGAGGAGAAAUUCCCAGUGACCAAGCCUGAUGCUGCCAGUGGGACUUUGACAGUGAAGGAUUUGGUAGCAGAAGAUAAAGGCUUGUAUUUCUGUGCUGUCAGUGAGCACAGUGAUACAGAUUUACUCAAUCGCUGA